rnacentral:lncRNA from 1 species
CCUGCCUCGGCCAGAGGUUUCAUUUUUAACUGAAUAUUUACGAAAGCUGAAAGCGUGCGAGGGGGGUGGGGUGGAAAUAGCGGCUGCUUCUUUUCCAAGGAUUUAUUUAAUGGGGAUGUGUUCAAGGCAAGACCGAAUUCAGAAGGAUAUCGACGUCGUGAUCCAGAAGUCCAGAGCUGAGGACUGCCUGUUUGCAGGGCCCGCCUGGCAGGACGACUGAGCAAGUUCUUGGAAAACCAGAGAUAUUAGAGCGGUGAAUCGCGCUGGUCACGUUGGACACCUGCGCGUUAGGAGAUUCUGGAGCCAGAGGGAGAGACCCCAGAAACGCCCCGGUCGGCGACCCAGCCCGAGACGCCUGGGGUCCCAAGGGAAGCUGAACGCCCGGUGGGCUCCCGGGAUGGUUCUUCCGGUUCUUUGUGCCGCCUUCACCCAGUGAAGGAGCCUGUAUCCACCCUGCCCAGUCGCUGUUGGGCUGCUGCGGAGCUUCCGCUGCCAUCUUCGGAUCCUGUGUUCCGCCCGGGGCUCCACCAGGGCAGGGAUGGUGGUGAGGGUCGCUCGUGGGUCCCCUGGCAGGGAGCAGGGUCUGGCACUCACAAGGGCGCACGACUAGGACUUGUCGAAUGAAUCCCUUGUCGCCUUUAGCUUUUAGUCCUUUGAAGAGAGGUGAGAGUGGAAAUCAAGAGAUUUUUUUCCACGGGGAAGUUCUUUUUACAAAGCGUUGAUUUCUUGGCACCCCGCGGGGCGGGCAACUGACACGACCUCCGGUGCACCUUCUGCGCUGUGGAGCCUCUGGGGCUCAGCUGGGCGGUGGUCGGGUCGUGGGGCGGUAGGGCGGGAGCGGGGGAAGGGAAAGCAAAAGCUGGAAAAGAAGCAGGGGAGUUGUGAACCAGACAUCCAGACCUCCUGAAGGGCUCGUGCAGACGUACAGGCGGGAUCUUCUGGAAGUGAGAAUUGUUUUUGUUUGUUUAUCUAUUGUAGCAGAAUGGGGAAAUGGAGAGAGAACCUGAAAGAGCCCCAAACUCGAGGACCUAUUGCUCCCCAAGAAUAACAUCUUCCAGAACUAGACAGAAAACUAGGCGUCUGGGAACCCUGAAAUCCUUGGAGGAGUAGAUCAUCAUGACCCUCUGUGUUCCUUUUGGCAAAUGACUUGCUUCCAUUGUUUGUUUGUUCAAUUGUCUGUUUGUUAAAUAAAUAAAACCCUUUUUAUGUAUCUUUAAAAUUACAUUGGUUCUAUUAUUUUAUGAUUACAAACGAUGCUGCAGUCAUCAUUCUUGUACACUUCUCAUUGGCCACUGGUGUAUUUCUAUAGGGUGGAGGCCUGGAGAGCAGUUGUUCCAGCAUAGUGUUUACAUAGCUUUUAUUUAAUUCCGUUUUCUUUCCUUUGUUGCUUUAUUAGCUAUAACCCUUCUCUUAUUUCAGUGGCAGCUUUAGGGUUUCUG